AGAUACUGCUUUUGGAGUUCGAUUUAGACAUGCAAGUCAGAUCGCAAGAUCGGCGAACGGCUCAGUAACACGUGGGCAACUUACCCUAAGGACCGGGAUAACCUUGGGAAACUGAGGGUAAAACCGGAUAGAGUAAAGAUAUUGGAAGAUACUUUACUUCAAAUCAUGUGGCCUUAGGAUAGGUCUGCGGCAGAUUAGGCUGAUGGCGGGGUAAAGGCCCACCAUACCUAUAAUCUGUACGGGCGAUGGGAGUCGGAGCCCGGAGAGGGGGACUGAGACAAGGCCCCCAGCCCUACGGGGUGCAGCAGUUACGAAACCUUUACAAUGCGCGAAAGCGUGAUAAGGGAACUCCAAGUGCUUAUACGCGAGUAUAAACUUUUGCCAAGUGUAAACAGCUUGGCGAAUAAGGACUGGGUAAGACCCGUGCCAGCCGCCGCGGUAAUACGGGCAGUCCGAGUGGUGUCCACGAAUACUGGGCUUAAAGCGUCCGUAGCUGGUUUUGUAAGUUUUCUGUGAAAGCCCAUGGCUUAACUGUGGGAAGUGCAGAAAAUACUGCAAGACUUGGAGGCGGGAGAGGUCAAGGGUACGUAUAGGGUAGCGGUAGAAACUGUGUAGUUCAGUGGCUUUAGCCGCUGCGCAGCUAAAGUGCAGUAAUCCUAUACGGACCACCGGUAGCGAAGGCGCUUGACUAGAACGCACUCGACAGUGAGGGACGAAAGCCAGGGGAGCGACAGGGAUUAGAUACCCCUUUAGUCCUGGCCGUAAAGGAUGCAAACUAGGUGUAGUACAACCCUUGUGGUUGCGCUGUGCCGAAGGGAAACCGUUAAGUUUGCCGCCUGGGGAGUACGAUCGCAAGGUUGAAACUUAAAGGAAUUGGCGGGGGAGCACUACAACGGGUGGAUGCUGCGGUUU
rnacentral:rRNA from 1 species